ACGGAAGGCAGCAGUGGGGAAUAUUGGACAAUGGGGGCAACCCUGAUCCAGCCAUGCCGCGUGUGUGAAGAAGGCCUUUUGGUUGUAAAGCACUUUAAGCAGUGAAGAAGACUCUAUGGUUAAUACCCAUAGACGAUGACAUUAGCUGCAGAAUAAGCACCGGCUAACUCUGUGCCAGCAGCCGCGGUAAUACAGAGGGUGCAAGCGUUAAUCGGAAUUACUGGGCGUAAAGCGAGCGUAGGUGGCUUAAUAAGUCAGAUGUGAAAUCCCCGGGCUUAACCUGGGAACUGCAUCUGAUACUGUUGGGCUAGAGUAGGUGAGAGGGAGGUAGAAUUUCAGGUGUAGCGGUGAAAUGCGUAGAGAUCUGAAGGAAUACCGAUGGCGAAGGCAGCCUCCUGGCAUCAUACUGACACUGAGGUUCGAAAGCGUGGGUAGCAAACAGGAUUAGAUACCCUGGUA
rnacentral:rRNA from 1 species